UAGGGGAGAUUGGAAUUCCAUGGAUGUAGCGGUGGAAUGCGCAGAUAUCAGGAGAGAACACCAAGUGGCGAAGGCAGAUCUCUGGGCCGUAACUGACGCUGAGGAGCGAGAGCAUGGGGAGCGAACAGGAUUAGAUAACCUGGUAGUCCAUGCCGUAAACGUUGGGAACUAGAUGUAGGGACCAUUCCACGGUCUCUGUGUCGCAGUUAACGCAUUAAGUUCCCCGCCUGGGGAGUACGGCCGCAAGGCUAAAACUCAAAGGAAUUGACGGGGGCCCGCACAAGCGGCGGAGCAUGCGGAUUAAUUCGAUGCAACGCGAAGAACCUUACCAAGGCUUGACAUAUACCGGAAACGGCUGGAAACAGUCGCCCCGCAAGGUCGGUAUACAGGUGGUGCAUGGUUGUCGUCAGCUCGUGUCGUGAGAUGUUGGGUUAAGUCCCGCAACGAGCGCAACCCUCGUUCUAUGUUGCCAGCACGUAAUGGUGGGAACUCAUAGGAGACUGCCGGGGUCAACUCGGAGGAAGGUGGGGACGACGUCAAAUCAUCAUGCCCCUUAUGUCUUGGGCUUCACGCAUGCUA
rnacentral:rRNA from 1 species